rnacentral:rRNA from 1 species
AUUAGAUACCCUGGUAGUCCACGCCGUAAACUAUGGAUGCUAGCUUUAUUCGUAUCGACCCGAGUAGUAGCGAAGCUAACGCGUUAAGCAUCCCGCCUGUGGAGUACGGUCGCAAGACUAAAACAUAAAGGAAUUGACGGGGACCCGCACAAGCGGUGGAGCGUGUUGUUUAAUUCGAUGGUAAGCGAAGAACCUUACCCAGACUUGACAUCCUUGGAAGCACUGCGAAAGCAGAGUGUGCCUCCGGGAACCAAGUGACAGGUGUUGCAUGGCCGUCGUCAGCUCGUGUCGUGAGAUGUUUGGUUAAGUCCAUCAACGAGCGCAACCCUUGUGGCUAGUUGAAUUUUUCUAGUCAGACUGCCCUGGUAACAGGGAGGAAGGAGGGGAUGAUGUCAGGUCAGUAUUACCCUUACGUCUGGGGCUACAAACACGCUACAAUGGCCGGUACAAAGGGCUGCCAAGUCGCGAGACGGAGCAAAUCCCAUCAAAACCGGUCCCAGUUCGGAUUGCAGGCUGAAACUCGCCUGCAUGAAGUCGGAAUCGCUAGUAACGGUAGGUCAGCACACUACCGUGAAUACGUUCCCGGGUCUUGUACACACCGCCCGUCAAACCAUGAAAGUCGCCAAUACCUGACGUCUUAGCUAGUCUAGGCCUAAGGUAGGGGAGAUGAUUGGGGUUAAGUCGUAACAAGGUAAC